rnacentral:rRNA from 1 species
CCUUCGGGUGGCAGCAGUGGGGAAUAUUGCACAAUGGGGGAAACCCUGAUGCAGCGACGCCGCGUGAAGGAAGGAGUAUUUCGGUAUGUAAACUUCUAUCAGCAGGGAAGAAAAUGACGGUACCUGACUAAGAAGCCACGGCUAACUAAGUGCCAGCAGCCGCGGUAAUACGUAGGUGGAAAGCGUUGUCCGGGUUUACUGGGUGUAAAGGGCGGGCAGCCUGGAGGACAAGUCAGAUGUGAAAUCCAGCGGCUCAACCGCCGCACUGCAUUUGAAACUGUUUUUCUUGAGUACCGGAGAGGUCAGCGGAAUUCCUGGUGUAGCGGUGAAAUGCGUAGAUAUAAGGAAGAACACCAGUGGCGAAGGCGGAUGACUGGACGGCAACUGACGGUGAGGCGCGAAAGCGUGGGGAGCAAACAGGAUUAGAUACCCGGGUAGUC